AAACAUUUCCGCCGAAAGACCAAGGGUUCCUGGGCCAGGCUAAUCCGCCCAGGGUAAGUCGGGACCUAAGGCGAGGCCGUCAGGCGUAGUCGAUGGACAACUGGUUGAUAUUCCAGUACCCGCUUUAAUUCGCCCAUGACGAACCCACUAAUGCUAAGAGUUUGAAUCCUGUUCGGCGUAAGCUGCGUGGGUGGAUGGCUCGAACCGGUGUGGUAGUAGUUAAGCAAUGGUGUGACACAGGAAGGCAGUCCAGCCCGGGCGAUGGUUGUCCCGGGGUAAGGCUGUAGGGGGUGAUGUAGGCAAAUCCGCAUCACAUAUACCCUGAGAGCUGAUGCCGAGCCGUAAGGCGAAGUGGAUGAUCCUAUGCUGUCAAGAAAAGCAUCUAGCGAGAAUUAUUGCGGCCCGUACCCGAAACCGACACAGGUGGUCAGGUAGAGAAUACCAAGGCGAUCGAGAGAAUCAUGGAUAAGGAACUCGGCAAAAUGCCCCCGUAACUUCGGGAGAAGGGGGGCCCUCUGGCGUGUAGGAAUUUACUUCCGAAGCGUUAGGAGGCCGCAGAGACCAGGCUCAAGCGACUGUUUACCAAAAACACAGGUCCGUGCGAAGUAGCAAUACGAUGUAUACGGACUGACGCCUGCCCGGUGCUGGAAGGUUAAGGGGACUGGUUAGCCGCAAGGCGAAGCUGAGAACUUAAGCCCCAGUAAACGGCGGUGGUAACUAUAACCAUCCUAAGGUAGCGAAAUUCCUUGUCGGGUAAGUUCCGACCUGCACGAAUGGCGUAACGACUUGAGCGCUGUCUCAUCCGUGAACUCGGCGAAAUUGCAUUACGAGUAAAGAUGCUCGUUACGCGCAGAAAGACGGAAAGACCCCGGGACCUUUACUAUAUCUUGAUAUUGGUGUUCGGAACGGUUUGUGUAGCAUAGGUGGGAGACUUUGAAGCGGGCACGCCAGUGUUUGUGGAGUCAUCGUUGAAAUACCACUCUGAUCGUUUUGAACUUCUAACCUCGGUCCGUAAUCCGGAUCAGGGACAGUGUCUGGUGGGUAGUUUGACUGGGGCGGUCGCCUCCUAAAAAGUAACGGAGGCGCUCAAAGGUUCCCUCAACCUGGUUGGUAAUCAGGUGUCGAGUGUAAGUGCACAAGGGAGCUUAACUGUGAGACAGACAUGUCGAGCAGGUGCGAAAGCAGGAACUAGUGAUCCGGCGGUGGCUUGUGGAAGCGCCGUCGCUCAACGGAUAAAAGGUACCCCGGGGAUAACAGGCUGAUCUUGCCCAAGAGUCCAUAUCGACGGCAAGGUUUGGCACCUCGAUGUCGGCUCGUCUCAUCCUGGGGCUGGAGUAGGUCCCAAGGGUUGGGCUGUUCGCCCAUUAAAGAGGCACGCGAGCUGGGUUCAGAACGUCGUGAGACAGUUCGGUCCCUAUCUUCUGUGCGCGCAGGAAACUUGAGAAGGGCUAACCCUAGUACGAGAGGACCGGGUUGGACGAACCUCUGGUGUGUCGGUUGUUCCGCCAGGAGCACCGCCGAUUAGCUACGUUCGGAAGGGAUAACCGCUGAAAGCAUCUAAGCGGGAAGCUCGCUUCGAGAUUAGGUUUCCCACCGGUUUACCGGGUAAGGCCCCCAGCUAGACGACUGGGUUGAUAGGCCGGAAGUGGAAGAGUCGCAAGACUUGGAGCUGACCGGUACUAAUAGGCCGAGGAUUUAACUACAAAGUUGCUACGCGUCCACUGUGUGGCUCUCGAGAUACGGUCUCGAGAUCCACGAUCAACGAAAAGGUUUUGACCCCUUUUCGUUUAGACCGAAAACUCAAUAGCGUUUCGGCGACCAUAGCGAGAGGGAAACACCCGGUCCCAUUCCGAACCCGGAAGUUAAGCCUCUCAGCGUCGAUGGUACUGCAAGGGUGACCUUGUGGGAGAGUAGAACGUCGCCGGACUUCUUUUAUAAAAAGGGGCGCUUUAACGAGCGCCCCUUUUUUAUUUCUCGUGAGUAAAUGUCAUACUGUUAAAAACUAAAAAGCGUGAAGGAGCAUCACAUGGAUGAAAAAGAACAGCGCCCAUCUCGUCCUUCACGACCUGUUAAUAAUCUAAAACCAGGAGAGCGUCCCGCACGAUCGGGAGAACGUCGUCCAUCAGGAGACGCACCACGCAAACCAUCUGGUCCUAAUUCUCAGCGCAGACGUGAAGAUUUGCCCGCUCGAGGCGGUUCACAAAGUCGCGCCGGAGCUCCGCGCCAAACACGUGAUGGUUCUGAUCCUCGUGGCGCACGUCCUGCACCAAUGGAUCGCGAUCAAUCUCGUUUGCGUCCACGAAUCUUUGAACCAGAUAUUCCAGAAGAUGUCACUGGUGAAGAGUUAGAAAAAUCUGUUCGUGCUGAGUUGUUAAGUUUGUCUGCUGAAAACGCAAAGGUUGUUGCACGACAUCUUGUGUGUAUAAAUCUUUAUCAAGAUACAGAUCCACAAUUAGCUCACAAACAUGGCAUAGCAGCGGCUCAUCAUGCUGGUCGCCUUGCUGUUGUUCGUGAAUCUGCUGGUUAUGCCGCAUAUCGCGCGGGUCAUUAUGAAAUAGCGCUAAAGGAAUUGCGAGCUGCCAAUCGCAUAUCCGGAGAUGUCUCAUCACUUCCUGUAAUGGCUGACUGUGAAAGAGGACUCGGAAAUCCUCUCAAAGCAUUGAGCUUGGCUGGUUCUCCAGAGGUUAAGCGAUUGGCUAAACCAGAAGAAAUUGAGAUGCGAAUAGUUGCAGCUGGUGCUCGUCGCGAUUUGGGUGAGUUGGAUGCUGCCGUUGUCACUUUGACCUGUAAAGAAUUAAACAAUGAAACAGAUGAGUGGGCCGUGCGUCUUCGCUAUGCCUAUGCCGAUGCAUUAGAUGCUGCCGGUAGAAAAGAUGAAGCGCGCGAAUGGUUUGGUAAGUGCGCAUCAUUAGAUGAGGAAGAACUUACAGACGCUGCUGAACGCUCCUUAGAGUAGUUACCCACAUCUUCCCCGCACAUGGUGGAAAGUGUCAGCUUGGCGCACGAUCAUCAUCUCCACAUUAAGUAGUUUGGGAGAUCUCGUGGUCAAGAAAGCAAGUGUCAAGAAAAGUGUAGAUGUUGAAGAAGAUUACUCAUUGAACGAUGUUUU
rnacentral:rRNA from 1 species